rnacentral:misc_RNA from 1 species
AAGUCGUAACAAGGUUUCCGUAGGUGAACCUGCGGUCUCUGAUGACACUUUUCAAUUCACCAAAGGACCCAGGAGAAGCUGAGAUUGCUUGCACUACCGCUACAAUUGCAACUGUAAUUUCUCGACUCAGAAGUCCCUAAAUCAAACUGUUCGCCAUGAUUUACUAGGGAUUGCUGGAGGAAGACGGGCUGCAAGAGCAGUGCUAAAAGUUCACAGGGGGGGUUUAACGUUGGAUACGUGUUAAUGAUCCUUGAAGGCCCUACGGCUUCACUGGAGGACAUCACGUCCGGUGACUAGAUGCUCGGGUCCCCAUGCCCCCUUACAACCCCAUGUCUCGCAGCCGGGUCGCGAUAAUACGCUUGACCUAAAAAUAAAAACCGAACAACUGUUAACAAUGGAUAUCUUGGUUCUC